CAGUAGCCGCGGGAAUACGAAGGUCCCGAGCGUUGUUCGGAAUCACUGGGCGUAAAGGGAGCGUAGGCGGCGUGGUAAGUCAGGUGUGAAAUCCCGGGGCUCAACCCCGGAACUGCAUCCGAUACUGCCAUGCUAGAGGAUUGGAGAGGUAGCUGGAAUUCUUGGUGUAGCAGUGAAAUGCGUGGAGAUCAAGAGGAACACUCGUGGCGAAAGCGAGCUACUGGACAAUAACUGACGCUGAGGCACGAAAGCGUGGGGAGCAAACAGGAUUAGAUACCCGGGUAGUCCCUGUCUCUUAUAA
rnacentral:rRNA from 1 species